CCUACGGGUGGCAGCAGUGGGGGAUAUUGCGCAAUGGGGGAAACCCUGAUGCAGCGACGCCGCGUGGGUGAAGAAGCGCCUCGGCGCGUAAACCCCUUUCAGCAGGGAAGAAAAUGACGGUGCCUGAAGAAGAAGCCCCGGCUAACUACGUGCCAGCAGCCGCGGUAAUACUUAGGGGGCAAGCGUUAUCCGGAUUUACUGUGUGGAAAGGGGGCGCAGACGGUGAUGCAAGCCAGGAGUGAAAGCCCGGGGCCCAACCCCGGGACUGCUCUUGGAACUGCGUUGCUAGAGUGCAGGAGGGGCAGGCGGAAUUCCUGGUGUAGCGGUGAAAUGCGUAGAUAUCAGGAGGAACACCAGUGGCGAAGGCGGCCUGCUGGACUGCAACUGACGUUGAGGCCCGAAAGCGUGGGGAGCAAACAGGAUUAGAUACCCGGGUAGUC
rnacentral:rRNA from 1 species